AUUUCAAAACAGCCACACAUUUCAAUGUUUUACUACCAUUACCGCUUCCAGCAAAACAACACUCAUGGAAUAAUAAACCCUAAGGAUAUGUUGCAUUCCUCAUGGUACCUAUACUACUGUAAAAAAGAAGCAGGUGUGGAGAUGAAGAAGAAAAAUGUUGACAACAUAAGGCAGAGAUCUGUGCUGAAGAUGCUACAAAGUUACUAUCUGAAACAGUGUAUUUAUUAAAGAAGCUACUUUGUUGCCAGCUUUGCCAGGAGUAAGAUGGACAUACCAUGGGUGCUGACUGCUCAUAAAUGAAACAUAACUUAAAAGGCUCAGGAAAGAAAAGAGAAGCAGCACAACGUCCACCCAAAACCUGAGCUAUUCCAGCAUUAUCCAGACUAUUUAAACAGGAGCUAGUGGGUGCCACAUGAGAAACGUCAGCAUGCAGCACUAUAUGACUGAGUUAGAUACAUAUCUGCAAAUAAACCGCCACUGCCUUUGUCUGUCACAGCAGAACCACAUUUCUGAAAUAAAUCAAGCAAAUGAAAAGGUAACACAAUACAGCAUGUGUCAGACAGUCUGUUUCCCGGAACUAUGAGCUCUUACAGAUCAGCAAGAUGAUACUUUGGUAUACAAAUUCUGAAGAAUUUCCUGUUAGAAAUAGGACACACAGCAGGAUUACUUCAUAUGCAUUAUUCUCUAAAUGUUCUGCAUAUUGCAAGUAUUUUAGACUGAGCAAACAAUUAUUACUUGGAAAAUAUCGUUUUCAAAGAAAUAUUUUACAGGUUCAUUCUGGAAGGUCCCACUGCAUCUUUGAUACUAGCAGAAUACAAGUCUCUGAACUCUGUUAUUGCACAAGACAUUUGGGGCUGGGGUCUGGGGCUUGGGGAACAAUGAAUUGGUAAACUGAAGCUUGAUAAAGAUGUGAUUGAUGAAAUAUGUUUCACUGAAAUGUGUGAACACCAAAGAACUCUACCUAAGGAAAUAUAUAUCACACUGGCUGAGACAUUAACCAAUGUCAUUUUGUUCCUCUUCUGCUGAAGACGAGGUGCAUUAUUAAACUUGGUGGGGGGGGACUACCAAGCUAACAAAAAUAAAUAAAUAUACAACCAAUAAAGUUUAGUUUUGCUAUGCCAUAUGGUCAGGCUGGGAAGUGUUUAUGAAGAGAACCUAAACACAUUGACAUAUCCAUCCAUUUAUUUAUAUAUCCUAUAAUGUUUAAACACUAGCUUCUAUACAUCAUUUACAAAGAACUGCUAAUGAUUUAUAGGACUGAGGUACCAAUUUGCAGACUAGAAACAUUUUUUUUUGCUGACUACUUUCUGUCAUUCCAAAAUCAGGUGUAAGAACCUGAUGGAGUGUGGCUGUACUGCAUGAAUUUUAUCAGGUGCAUCAAAGGUAACCUUGGGAAUGUAUGCCAGAUGUCUCAGUAAAGUCCUAUGGAUUUAAGAGUGUGUUGCAUUCUGGGACAGCCUGUCUGUGAUGUGGCGCUAUCAGCAGGGUACUGUACUGACAGUGUCUGAUAUACCACUGGUGAACCUGGAAACUCACAUCAAUGUUCUAGGUUAUUCCAUUUUCUACUUUCACACCAGUUUUGAUGCUAAUUCCCUACAUUCUGGGUAUGAGAGAUCAAGGGCACUGUUAUAACAACGGUUACCAAAACAAGAUGGCAAGAAGAAAUAAUAUAAGUAAACAGGUUGCAUUACUAGCUCACUACCGCUCAGUGCCUUAGCUGUUAUCCUUCAUAUAAAAUAACACAUGACUAGCUUCUGUGUAGUCCUCAGUUAUAAAGGUAUGCAUUUCCAUUAUUAAAUUAUUUUGCUUAUCCUGUCACUGAUAUGUUUCUGCAUUAAUAUGUGAGCUGUUAGUAGAAAUACUUCAUGCAUUGUUUUAUCUACAUUUAGUACACAAUCAUAAGCUACCCUUACUAGUUUAUAACUAGAUAAAGUUGUUCCCUUAAUAUUGCCUUAGCAUUCACAAACAAUAGACAGUUUAUAAGUAAUUGUCUAUAAUCCUGUCAUGAACAGAUUUUGAUAUACAUGAAAAUUUAAUAUCUGUUUAUAAUCAACACAACUACAGAAAAGAAACCAUUAGGAGAUAUUGUUUAUACUUCUGCAUGUGUACAAUUACAAAAUUGCCAACUCAGUUUAUUAAACUUAUUUUAUUAGAGCAGAGGGAGUUAUUCCUUACUGUGAAUGUCAUAUGACAAAUUUCAGGCAUUUUAAGAUGAUGUUCUUGGGAUGCUUGGCUAAUUGUCUAGCAGUUGUCUUAGAGGAUUAAGGAUAUGUUAACAAGCUGUUUCCUGUGGUCCGGUGAUACAAGGUUUGAUUCCCUCAGCUUCCAUUCCUAUCUGUGUGACUCUAACCAAGUCACUUAACCAGACAAUGCUGUUGGGCUGAGUCUGGAAAUGAUCAGUGCUCUACCCUAUAUAAACUAAUAAUAAUAAAUGAGUUAUGUUUUAGUGCUCAUUAGGACUUCACCGAUUGUAUUCAAUGUUUCACUUCUGUUUGAAAAUGCCCCACUUGUUAACAUAGAUUGCAGACUCUAAAGUUAGAAGACAAUCAAACAGUCUGUGUGAUUUUGCAGCUACUGGGGGAUUAGCAUAUCAGUUAAGGUGAUUACCUCACAUACACAAGGUACAGGGUUUGAUUCUCACCUUUCAAAGGAAAAUUGGAUAGGCUUAAAACAGCCUACAAGAGCAGUUAGCCUAGUACUUAAUUAUGAACCUUACUAUCUCCAAUGCACAUUAAAAAAGGAUCAAAAUGGUUGCAAUUGGUAACUAUGUGAUAACAAACCCAAGACUGGUAAGCCUACAAAAGCACGGCUUAAACAAGUAUUAAUACCAAGUUCAACAUUUUUGAUACUGUGACAAACAUAUGAGCAUGAUUAACCAGACUGCUAGUAAGAAAUAAUGGAUACCUACUACACAUUGAGAACAAGGCCUGUAUGCAAGCAGGACAAGUCUUGACAGUAUACUGGAACAGGUAUAGCACAGAAAUAUCUAAGCAGCUAACCGAGGUAGGAGAAGUGUAAGAGG